GGUUCGAGAGCUUAGUGUACCAAAGCGGUCUAGGUGGUUUUUAGACGUACUGGCAAGUCCCUGGCUCACAAUAACACAACCUUCCUUUUGAUGAUCAAUUUGUUAACUUGCUGGGACUAUCAUUCUAAUAGCAUAAUAGUCCCCGUUAAAUCAGAGCUCUACCGUUAAAUAGUACUGUAAUUGUUAUUAAUGUUAUUAUUUUAUUUUUACGCUGUCUUAAUUUGUAAUUUAAUAUAGUUAUUUUUAAAAGUAUAAUAUAGUGUCUUGUAAGUCAUUUUUGGGCAGGAUAUUGUUUGUUUUAGAGUGUAUGAAUAAUUUUUAUUGCAAUCAACUUAAAAAAAACUAAACUAUGUGGACCGUAUGUCAUCGAAUACAUUUUACUUUAUACAAGACAGCUGAUUGGAUAAAUAUGAUAGGUUGUUACGCCUACAUUGAUACUGAUGUCCAAUCGAAUACCAGCAGACACCUGUCAGUGAAAAAACAAAUUGCAAGCGUGGCCGGAUAAAUAAGAGAUUUAUUUGUUUAUUCGAUAUUUGAAAAAUAAGUUAGAUAGCCGCUAUUCGUUUACUCUUUUUUAGGUGAAUUUCAAUAACUGUUUUUUUUUUCUUCACUUUCUUAUUAAACAGAAAGGUAUUUAAAUAUGAGCGUACAACAUGUAACGGAAUUUUACAAGCAUUUUAUAUAGCG
rnacentral:lncRNA from 1 species